rnacentral:sRNA from 1 species
UCUCUAUUCACACCUCACUUCCUGCAACAGGAGAUGGGUCAGCUCCUGUGAUGGCAGUCGUUCGGCUCCUUGCUGAAAUAAGGACAAGAGCAUGCCUGGUCAUGGCCCAGCUUUUAGAAGACAGCUUAUUUUGUGAAGAAUUCAUACAACAAUGUCCAGCGGCUGUUGAAGUUCUUAACCUAGUAGCCCAGGAAUGUAGUGCUGGAGAGCGACUUGCAGUUGUGGAGGUACAGUGUGAACGGCUGAGGAUGCUCUACCGGGACUGUGCUCGGCCCCCACCGCCUCCUUUGCAGGCUGACCGGAGACAGCCCAAAGAGAUUACUUGGAGCCCCUCGCGAGUGUUUCCGCCUGUUCGAGCCUGCAUGUUCUCAUCUCACCUUACCUCAGUCACCUUCCUGGCUGACCCCAGCGCUGGGGGAGGCCUGCCCCGGGGCACUUUUAUCUAUGCCACUUCACCAUUGCCAGUUCAGGCCCCAUCUUUUUACUGGGAAAUUGAAAUCGUUUCCUAUGGAGACACCGAUGAUGACACUGGGCCCAUAGUUUCCUUUGGCUUCACUACAGAAGCAGAGAAGCGAGAUGGGGCUUGGACUAAUCCAGUGGGCACUUGUCUUUUCCAUAACAAUGGCCGAGCCGUGCACUACAAUGGCUCCAGUUUGUUACAGUGGAAGAGCGUUCGCUUAGACGUGACUCUCUCCCCCGGUGACGUGGCAGGAAUCGGCUGGGAGAGAACCGAGGGGACUCCACCUCCUCCGGGACAGCCAGCCAAGGGCCGAGUGUACUUCACAUACUGCGGGCAGCGCCUCUCACCGUAUCUUGAAGACGUCUCUGGUGGCAUGUGGCCAGUGGUUCACAUUCAGAAAAAGAACACCAAAACCCGAGCUAACUUUGGCUCCCGGCCGUUUGCCUACGCGGAAGGGCAGGCCCACCGCAACGCUGCUGACCUGUGCACUGACCUAGCAGAAGAGAUCAGCGCUAACUUUGAGGCCCUGCCUUUCGCCAUGGCAUCUGACAGUGACAAUGAUGCUGGCACCAGUAUUGCAUCAGACCCAGGCACUCAUGGGCCACCAUGCCGGAUUGCUGCCGUGGCCACCGCUCAGCAACAAUAUGAUAGUGACACCUCCUGUCAUUAUAAAGUCGAGCUCAGCUAUGAGAAUUUCAUCACCUCUGGCCCAGACCCUCACCCGCCUCCCAUUGCAGAUGAUGAAAGCGAUGAUGAUGACGAUGAUGACAUCCCGCAGGAGGACCACUACGCCCUGCUGGUGAAAGCAUGGGAGACCAAGGUUUUUCCUACCAUCCGAAGACGCUUCCGCAAUGAAGCAGAGCGGAAAUCGGGCCUGGACCAGAUAAAGGGGGCCUUACAACUAGGUAUGGUGGAUAUUGCCCGACAGACGGUUGAAUUUCUCUAUGAAGAGAAUGGUGGCAUCCCAAGAGACCUUUAUCUUCCCACCAUUGAAGACAUUAAAGACGAAGCAAACAAGUUCACAAUUGAUAAAGUUCGAAAAGGUCUCACAGUAGUAACCCGCUCUCCAGACAGCAAUAAUGUAGCCAGCAGUGCUGUUGGAACUGCUCUGCCAAAAUUUGCCAUCCGAGGGAUGCUGAAAACCUUUGGGCUUCAUGGAGUCGUCUUAGAUGUUGAUUCAGUGAGUGAACAGCCAUUCUGAUUAAUAAGCUAUUUUAUGUAUACUGAGGCUGUCAUGCCCAGAUUCCCAAGUACCUUAAAAAGUGAUUAUACAGAUGAGUUUCUCUUCAAAUCAGGGACGAAGACACAAAGCAAAAAUGCUCUAAUGCCAAUUGACUUGCCUGAGCUUUCCUCAGGGACUCAGAUCAGGGCUGGCAAUAGAUGGUAGGCUGUCCAGUCUGAAAGCUGUCAGCGCCUUCAGACCACACCACGUCUACCAUUAUUUUCUGUCUGACAUGUUCAAACUGUUCCUGCAUUAUAUCUACCCAAGUUCCCAGGGAAAAGUCCCCAUUGUCCUUGAUGAAUGGAUGAUCUGUCAUUGUCAUGAUGGUCAUACAGACACAAAUCAAAGAAAUAGGCUGGGCGUGGGGCUCACACCUGUAAUCCCAGCACUUUGGGAGGCCGAGGAAGGAGGAUUACCUGAGCCCAGGAGUUCAAGACCAGCCUGGGCAACAUGGCGAGACCCUGUCUCUACAAAAAAUUAGCCAGUCAUGGUGGGCAUAUCUGUAGUCCCAGCUAUGUGGGAGGCUAAGGUGGAGGAUCGUUUGAGCCUGAGAGGUCAAGGCUGCAGUGAGCUGUGAUGGCCUCAGUGUUCUCCAGCCUGGGCAACAGAGUGAGUCCCUGUCUCCAAAGG